CUGGCGCACCCAUACCGAGCAGCGGUCCUGAGGGCCAUGGAGAGGGUCCUGAGCAGUCACGCCAGUGAGCUGGACAAGGACACAGCCAGCACCAUCAUCCUCCUGGCCUCCAGCGAGAUGACCAAGACGAAGGACCUGGUCUGGGACUGGCAGCAGGCGGCGAGUGGCGUCCUGGUGGCCGUGGGAAGACAGUUCAUCAGCAAGGUGAUGGAGGAGCUGCUGCGCAGGCUGCACCCUGGGACCCUGCCACACUGCGCCGUGCUGCACACCCUCGCCAGCCUCUCGGUGGCCAACGCGUUCGGCGUAGUCCCCUUCCUGCCAUCCGUCCUGAGCUCCCUGCUGCCCGUGCUGGGCGUGGCCAAGCAGGACACGGUGCGCGUGGCGUUCUGCUCCGCUCUGCAGCGCUUCAGCGAGGGUGCCCUGGAGUACCUAGCCAACCUGGACCGAGCCCCAGACCCCACGGUCAGGAAGGACGCCUUUGCCACCGACAUCUUCAGCGCCUACGAUGUUCUCUUCCAUCAGUGGCUGCAGAGUCGAGAAGCCAAGCUCCGUCUUGCCGUGGUGGAGGCUCUGGGGCCUAUGAGCCAUCUGCUGCCCAGUGAGAGGCUGGAAGAGCAGCUGCCCAAGCUCCUCCCUGGGAUUCUCGCCCUCUACAAGAAGCACGCAGAGACCUUCUACUUGUCCAAGAGCCUGGGCCAGAUCCUCGAGGCAGCUGUGAGUGUGGGCAGCCGCACACUGGAGACCCAGCUGGAUGCCCUCUUGGCUGCACUGCACUCCCAGAUCUGUGUGCCUGUGGAGUCCUCAAGCCCCCUGGUGAUGAGUAACCAGAAGGAGGUGCUGCGCUGCUUCACUGUGCUGGCCUGCAGCUCGCCUGACCGCCUACUGGCCUUCCUGCUGCCCAGGCUGGACACCAGCAAUGAGAGGACCCGCGUGGGCACCCUGCAGGUGGUCAGACAUGUCAUCAACUCGGCUGGUGAGUGCCUCCAUGCUAGCCUGGCCGCCACCCCUGGCCAUGUCCAGGAUGGAGCAGGUCCUGGCAGAUUGUGUCCCUCUAAGUGAAAACACCAUCCUGCUUUGAAUUCUCUAGAAAGAUUUCCCUACUUACUAUUUUGCAAAAUUCUAAACUUUUUGAAAAGUUGCAAGGGUGGUACCUUUCUACCCUUCGCCAUAUGUUGGUGGCUCACACUUGCUUUGACAGCUGGCUGCA
rnacentral:sRNA from 1 species